ACUCCGCUCUGGAAGUGAUAUCAAGAUGAAGCUAGUGCUCUUACUUACCUUCUUCAACGCCGCCCUUUCCACGUCUUCUCAAGAGACGGCCUCUGCGAAUAAUGGAGACAACCCACUCUGGGCGAAUGAGCAACUGCUUGGGAAAUAUCAAGCUGCCUGGGAAAGCAUCAGUCAGCCUGAAUCGGUGACUUACGUCCUCGCAAAGACAACGUACGAAAAUGACACAGGAUCAUGGGGAGCCCAGUUUAAGUGCCUGCAGGUGCAAGAAACAGAAAGAAAUGAAACAGAAUAUACUGUGAAAUCUGUUUUCACGUUCAGAAACGCUUCUUCUAUAACAAAGUAUUACAACGUGUCAGAAACAGUGAAGGCCUGUUUUUCAAUAUGGAUACAAGAAAACAAGGAAUGCCUUUGAAUACCAAGUGGGUAAGUCUCUUUAAACACAUUGAACAACUAAGCUUAAUAUCUAAAUCCUAGUUAGGAACUAUUUAAGGGAUGGCGAGAGUAUGCCAGCGAAGAUUUAGCUUCAGUGGCACACACUCGAUUUUUUUCCCUUUUCUCUGAGAACGUUCUUGUUCAAAGUGAGGAGACCACUGAGCAAGCCUAUACUUACACAGGUAAUACUUGCAUAGCUGGAUGCGGUAGGUUAGCAACAAAAAUGCUACCAGUUUCUCACGAAAAACGUAUAGCCCUUGGUCCUUCAAGCUCUUUUUAUGAGUGGAACAAUAAAUCUUUACUUAUGGCCUUAGAAUACACAUCAAGGUUAAGCAAACACUCUUUAUGAAAUGCUGGUUCAUUGCGCAACACUUUGGUAACAUGCAUACAUUUGUAUACUGACAGGUGGAACUGAACUUGACCGACACGCUCAUUUUCACUGAUCGAAAACUAUGUUAUGUUUUUCAUGUGCCUUAUGCAGACAACGGCUGUGAACUCUGGGUCAAGAAGAGCCACUACAAACAGAUACCAGACUGCUGCAUGUUCGUGUUCAAUGUUUUCUGUGCGAAAGGCAAAAACACCUACGACAUAUUUAGUGAAGAAGAAUGUGUUUAUAACUACGGUGGCUUGAUUUAAAGACUCCUCCUCAAUAAAAUACUGAUUUUCUAGCAAGUAGUAUGAAUAACUGAAUAAUAAAGAGAUUGUA